GCCGGGUGCGUGGCUCUGACGAGGAGACACGGGCCGUCCUCGGACGAAACGGGUCCGCGAAGGAGACCUCGGCUUCCUGUGACGGAAUCUCUGCCCGCAGUGGCUUCAGGGCAGUAGAGAGUCAGCGAGCCCCAGCGAGCCCCAACGAGCCGAAAGCAGCAGAAUAUCAUUCUUCUCACCGGGUCAGACGGGAUCGCAGCACGAGGCAGCUGGGUCGCGGUUCGGCCAGGCCCUCGGCGUGGACACGGACCUCCAGAGAGGACUUCCACGACCACGUAAGGUGUGGACGGCUGCGGGGACCGUCGCUCCAGCCCUGCCGUGAGAUCUCGCUGGAUUUGGCACAACGGCAACGGAGGCUCCACACCCAACAGGGGGCUUGAACACAUGACCCUGAGUUCAUAUUCCAUGGAUUGAGCCAGCCAGAAACACCUGUGAGAACCAGAAUAGCUUCAAGACUUACACCAAGUGAGUUAGGCAAAGAGAGAACGUGGAAGAAAUCGUAAAUCCCCUGAAAGCCACUCAGCUGGUGAUGGCCCUCAGCAGUGCGUGUAAACAUCUGAAUUUGGAAACCUCAAGUUCUACAUUAGGACUCCAGCAGCUGAUACUCUGCGGAAAUGCAGCCCAAUGGAAGUGGCAUCGUGCAGACCUCUUGGCUACUACCAUAAGGGGUCACCAGGGCGAGGGUCAGUGACCCAUGCAGAGGAUCAUUGUCUCGAGGGCCCGCCCCUCGGGAGCCCGGUCGUCUCCACAGCUGCGCCCCUCGCCGAUCCUCAACCCCCCAACCCCUGGGAGCGCUCUGUACCGCCAGGGCCCAGACCCUGUAAUCGGUAGGAGCGUUCCUGGCCGAGAGCGGGUCCUCCCUUGCCGCGAGUUCAAGGAAGAGACCGCCCAGACCGGCUUCCCGCUGAUUGGCUGAACGCGAGGAGGGCCAGAGAUGAUUGGUUGGGCCGGACGCCUCUCCGCGCGCUCGCAGCGGUCGCGCCUUGUUCAGCCGCCGCA